rnacentral:rRNA from 1 species
GACGAACGCUGGCGGCGUGCUUAACACAUGCAAGUCGAGCGGUAAGGCCCUUUCGGGGGUACACGAGCGGCGAACGGGUGAGUAACACGUGGGUGACCUGCCCUCAGCUCUGGGAUAAAGCCUGGGAAACUGGGUCUAAUACUGGAUAUGACUCCACGGUGCAUGUCGUGGGGUGGAAAGCCUUGCGCGGCUGAGGAUGGGCCCGCGGCCUAUCAGCUUGUUGGUGGGGUGAUGGCCUACCAAGGCGACGACGGGUAGCCGGCCUGAGAGGACGACCAGUCACACCGGAACUGAGACACGGUCCGGACUCCUACGGGAGGCAGGCAGUGGGGAAUAUUGGACAAUGGGCGAAAGCCUGAUCCAGCGACGCCGCGUGGGUGAAGAAGGCCUGCGGGUUGUAAAGCCCUUUCGGUGGGGAAGAAAAGCCUCGAGUUAAUACCUCGGGGUCUUGACGUAACCCAUAGAAGAAGCACCGGCUAACUCUGUGCCAGCCGCCGCAGUAAC